GUCAAGAUGGCCGAGUUGGUCUAAGGCGCCAGUUUCAGGUACUGGUCUGAAAGGGCGUGGGUUCAAAUCCCACUCUUGACA
rnacentral:tRNA from 2 species